rnacentral:sRNA from 1 species
GCUGGGUGUGGUGGCGCACACCUGUGAUCCGAGUGGAUCAGGAGGCUGAGGCAGGAGGAUUGUGACUUCAAAGCCAGCCUCAGCAAAAGCAAGGCCCUAAGCAACUCAGUGAGACCCUGUCUCUA